CCUACGGGAGGCAGCAGUGGGGAAUAUUGGACAAUGGGCGAAAGCCUGAUCCAGCCAUGCCGCGUGUGUGAAGAAGGUCUUCGGAUUGUAAAGCACUUUAAGUUGGGAGGAAGGGUUGUAGAUUAAUACUCUGCAAUUUUGACGUUACCGACAGAAUAAGCACCGGCUAACUCUGUGCCAGCAGCCGCGGUAAUACAGAGGGUGCAAGCGUUAAUCGGAAUUACUGGGCGUAAAGCGCGCGUAGGUGGUUUGUUAAGUUGGAUGUGAAAUCCCCGGGCUCAACCUGGGAACUGCAUUCAAAACUGACUGACUAGAGUAUGGUAGAGGGUGGUGGAAUUUCCUGUGUAGCGGUGAAAUGCGUAGAUAUAGGAAGGAACACCAGUGGCGAAGGCGACCACCUGGACUAAUACUGACACUGAGGUGCGAAAGCGUGGGGAGCAAACAGGAUUAGAUACCCUAGUAGUC
rnacentral:rRNA from 1 species